GACGAACGCUGGCGGCGUGCUUAACACAUGCAAGUCGAACGGAAAGGCCCUGCUUUUGUGGGGUGCUCGAGUGGCGAACGGGUGAGUAACACGUGAGUAACCUGCCCUUGACUUUGGGAUAACUUCAGGAAACUGGGGCUAAUACCGGAUAGGAGCUCCUGCUGCAUGGUGGGGGUUGGAAAGUUUCGGCGGUUGGGGAUGGACUCGCGGCUUAUCAGCUUGUUGGUGGGGUAGUGGCUUACCAAGGCUUUGACGGGUAGCCGGCCUGAGAGGGUGACCGGCCACAUUGGGACUGAGAUACGGCCCAGACUCCUACGGGAGGCAGCAGUGGGAAAUAUUGCACAGUGGGCGGGAGCCUGAUGCGGCAACGCCGCGUGCGGGAUGACGGCCUUCGGGUUGUAAACCGCUGUCGCCUGUGACGAAGCGUGAGUGACGGUAAUGGGUAAAGAAGCACCGGCUAACUACGUG
rnacentral:rRNA from 1 species